CGCAGACUGUAAGACCAACAAUGAGUGUCAAAUAAGCAAUUCUGAGUGUCAAGAAAAGAAGUGUACUUGUAAAAAAACUUUCUUUGAGUUUGAAGGAAAAUGUAAUGCAGGAGGACUGCACGCAAACUGUACGACCAACGAUGAGUGUCAAAUAAGCAAUUCUGAGUGUCUAGAAAAGAAAUGCACUUGUAAGAAAUAUUUCUUUGAGCUUGACGGGCAAUGUGCAGCAGGACUCGACGCGGAGUGCAAGACCAAUGAUGACUGUAAAAAGGAAAAUACAUUUUGUCAUGAGAAAACGUGUAAGUGUGAACCAAAGUUUG